GAAACCAAUACAGUAUCUUUUAAGAUAGAAGGUAAGAGUUAAAAAAAAAUCUGGCUCAAUGCAAAGACAGAUGAGUACCCCUUAAACCUCCUUUCCUUUGAGUUCUGAGAGUGAUGAACUGAUGAAAGCUGUUGUUUUCUGAAAGGAAAUGCUUAAAUAAAUUUUUGCUGAAAUAAAACUUGCUCUCAGCUCUGCCUAGGGAGAUUUCUCAAGAGGUUUGUUGGUUUUUUUAAUGCUCAGUAUGACUGCAUAAUUGUAAUUAGGGGGAGAGGUGCAGCUGCUUGUAUCUAAGGCUGUUGAAAAACUUUGGGGUCAGUAAUUUUUUAAUUUUCAUUUUCAUUUCUCCAUUUUCAUGUAAAGGGUAGAGUUGGAAAGCAUCUGCCCUGUGUUCUUUCUGGAAACUGAAUCUGCCAGAAAUCUGUUGUGAGGUGGUGAAGGAAAUAAAGUGGUGAGAAAAUAAAGGGGUUAAUAUAAUGACUACUAGGAAUCAGGUACUGUGCUAAGUGCUUUUUACAAAUAAUAUCUCAUUUGAUCUUCAUAUCAACCAUGUUGGGUAAGUGCUGUUAUUAUUAUUAUUUGAGAGUUGAGGAGACAUGUUAAGUGACUUGCCCAUGGUCACAUAGCUAAAAAGUAUCAGAAAAUAAAUUUGAAUUCAGGUCUUCUUUGUGUCUUUAGGAGCUUUUUUUUUUUUUAAUGAAGUUUAGCAGCUUCUAAAAUUCCUACUUUGAAAUUAGUCAACUGGCAUUUAUUAAGGACCUACUAUGUGCCAGGAACUGGUCCUAUGCUCUGGGAAUACAAAGAAAAUGAAGAGAAAACUUCUGAAGGAGCUCCCAUUCUAAGGGGAAGGAGAAAUGGAGAUAACACACAAAUAGUUGUACACAUAUUUGUACAUAGUUGUACACACAAAUAGUUGUACAAAUACAAACACACAAAUAUGUACAAACAGGAUCUAUAGAGUAUAAAUUGGAGAUAAUCUGAGAGGUAAGGCAUUAGCUUUAAGGAGAAAUGGGAUACCAGUCUCAAAUUUGAUGAUGAGAUAUGGGCUCAAGAGUGGGAGGCAGAGCCAGAGAUAAGUCAGGGAAGAAAUGGCAACUGGGACGACCUAGCCACCUGGUAAGUGGCUCACCACCUCUCACCUCUCACCACACUGAGAACAAGUCUACAACACAUCCCAAAUCCCUCUGCAGCCACAUCAGUGUGAAUGACCUUAGCCUGUAAUAUUAUGCUAGCCCUCCUCUAGUACUGAAACACUGUCCUUUGAAAAGUGACUUGCUUGCUGCUUGAUGUAACUCUUUUAUUUGCCUUACAUUCUACUUCUUACAUUAUUUGCUAAUGCCUUUUACCGUGAUAUCUCGUGAUUUAUUCUGGAUUAAUCAGGGGACAUUCAGUGGAAGUAGGGGCUCAUAAAUGGUCAAUUGAAAGCUGAGACCCAGGUGCUGCUGAUAUUGCUUAGAUUUAACAACUACUUCUGUGUUUGUGAACUCCAAAGUACUCUGAUCAUAAUCUUUUAUCAUUCCAUUUCCCUUCUGCUUCACAACCCCUCAAAUUCUUUUUUGUCCUCAUCAUGAAUACCUCUACACCUUAGUUCUUUCCCUUGUCAAAAUCCCUCUACUGGCUAUAUUUUUCUUUCUUUCCUAUCUGAAACUCUUGGUGAAUCAGUUCAACUCUAAACCUUCUGCUAUUCUCUAAUCACUUGUCCCCUUGUCUUAUUGCUGAUCAUGUCUUGUGAAAUUCCAAUCUUGAAUUACUUUCAUCAUCUAUCACUGUCAAUUCCUCCAACUUCCCUAUUGCUGAAUAGUAUUGGAAGAAAUCACAAAACUGUGUUGAUGGAUCUACUCUAAAUUAUAUUAAAUAACCUCAGCUGAGAGCCCUCUCUUACAAGGCAAUCUUUUUUGCAUCUCCCUAAUCAUUCCUCCCCUAAGAUAAAUGCUCAUCACCUGAAAUCUCAUUGUCUUGGAGAUCAUUUGGCUUCCAUACUCACUACGUUCUCAAAACCCUCCUCCACAUUGCUGCCUCUCCAAAUGCACUUCCCUGUUGAAGUAUUGUAAUACCCUAAGUCCCCAAAGUGAAGCUAGUUAUGACUGCCCCCCAGGAUCCUAGAUGACUUCAAGGGAUUGGAGUUCCAGUCCUCGAUGAUGACCCUUCAGGUGGUAGACACUUAACCUCCCAGAAGCUCAGAUUCUCAGAGUUGACUGAUUCUUGCUGAGUCAGUGCCAGCAAUAAGCACCCUGUGACGCAGGCUACAAGUUUGAGGGCUUCUGGAUUCCACUUUGACAGAUACUAAGAAAGAAGGUAAGCUUUGGUUGGGGGUAAAGGGAAAGAGCAUAUUGUGGGGAGUAAGAUAUAAGAAAACUAGAAAGAGGAGGGACUGGGUAUAAAGGGCUUUAAAUGCCAAAUCAAGGAUUUUAUAUUUGAUCUUGGAAGUGAUAUGAAGUCACUGGAGUUUACUGAGUAGGAGGGUGACAUGGAUGGACUUGUUCUUUAUAUAAAACAUUUUGGUGGCUGGAGGAUGAAUUGGAGAAGACAGACAACUGAAGAAGGCAGACUCCCUAUCAGGUUAUUGCAGUAGUAGCAAUAGUUAUCAGAGAAAGGGGUAUAUUUGAGAGAUAUUGCAAAGGAGAAAUUGACAUUUUGAAAACAGAUUAGAAAUUAGGGGA